rnacentral:hammerhead_ribozyme from 1 species
AUCCAGUCGACGAGUCCUCAAUAGGACGAAACGCGCGUCGUAGAU